rnacentral:rRNA from 1 species
AACGAACGCUGGCGGCAUGCCUAACACAUGCAAGUCGAACGAGACCUUCGGGUCUAGUGGCGCACGGGUGCGUAACGCGUGGGAACCUGCCCUUAGGUUCGGAAUAACUACCCGAAAGGGGUGCUAAUACCGGAUAAUGUCUUCGGACCAAAGAUUUAUCGCCUUUGGAUGGGCCCGCGUUGGAUUAGCUGGUUGGUAGGGUAAAAGCCUACCAAGGCGACGAUCCAUAGCUGGUCUGAGAGGAUGAUCAGCCACACUGGGACUGAGACACGGCCCAGACUCCUACGGGAGGCAGCAGUGGGGAAUAUUGGACAAUGGGCGAAAGCCUGAUCCAGCAAUGCCGCGUGAGUGAUGAAGGCCUUAGGGUUGUAAAGCUCUUUUACCCGGGAUGAUAAUGACAGUACCGGGAGAAUAAGCUCCGGCUAACUCCGUG